CGUACUGCGCCGGGGAUGAGCGGAUAUCAUUGAUGUUGAUAAGGACGAGUUUCCUAAGAAAACUCCAGUACCA
rnacentral:tRNA from 1 species